AACGUACGCUGGCGGCACGCCUAACACAUGCAAGUCGAACGAAGUAGCAAUACUUAGUGGCAGACGGGUGAGUAACAUGUGGGUAUCUGCCCUUUGGCCUGGAAUAACACGAGGAAACUUGUGCUAAUACCGGAUAAGUCUUUACGGAGAAAGCUUUAUGCACCAUUGGAUGAGCCCGCACUUGAUUAGUUUGUUGGUGGGGUAAUGGCCUACCAAGACUGUGAUCAAUAGCUGAUUUGAGAGGAUGAUCAGCCACAUUGGGACUGAGACACGGCCCAAACUCCUACGGGAGGCAGCAGUGGGGAAUCUUGCACAAUGGAGGAAACUCUGAUGCAGCGAUGCCGCGUGAGUGAAGAAGGCCCUUGGGUUGUAAAGCUCUUUCGUCGGGGAAGAAAAUGACUGUACCCGAAUAAGAAGGUCCGGCUAACUUCGUGCCAGCAGCCGCGGUAAUACGAAGGGACCUAGCGUAGUUCGGAAUUACUGGGCUUAAAGAGUUCGUAGGUGGUUGAAAAAGUUAGUGGUGAAAUCCCAGAGCUUAACUCUGGAACUGCCAUUAAAACUUUUCAGCUAGAGUAUGAUAGAGGAAAGUAGAAUUUCUAGUGUAGAGGUGAAAUUCGUAGAUAUUAGAAAGAAUACCAAUUACGAAGGCAGCUUUCUGGAUCAUUACUGACACUGAGGAACGAAAGCAUGGGUAGCGAAGAGGAUUAGAUACCCUCGUAGUCCAUGCCGUAAACGAUGUGUGUUAGACGUUGGAAAAUUAUUUUCAGUGUCGCAGCGAAAGCGAUAAACACACCGCCUGGGGAGUACGACCGCAAGGUUAAAACUCAAAUGAAUUGACGGGGACCCGCACAAGUAGUGGAGCAUGUGGUUUAAUUCGAAGAUACGCGCAGAACCUUACCAACACUUGACAUGUUCGUCGCGACUCUAAGAGAUUAGAGUUUUCGGUUCGGCCGGACGAAACACAGGUGCUGCAUGGCUGUCGUCAGCUCGUGUCGUGAGAUGUUGGGUUAAGUCCCGCAACGAGCGCAACCCUCACUUUUAGUUGCCAUCAUUUAGUUGGGCACUCUGAAAGAACUGCCAGUGAUAAGCUGGAGGAAGGUGGGGAUGACGUCAAGUCCUCAUGGCCCUUACGUGUUGGGCUACACACGUGCUACAAUGGUAUCUACAACAGGAAGCAAAACGGCGACGUUAAGCAAAUCCUUAAAAGAUACCUCAGUUCGGAUUGCACUCUGCAACUCGAGUGCAUGAAGCUGGAAUUACUAGUAAUCGUGGAUCAGCGUGCCACGGUGAAUGCGUUCCCGGGUCUUGUACACACCGCCCGUCACACCAUGGGAGUUGGUUCUACCUUAAGGCAAGGUUUAAAACCCUUGACCACGGUAUAGUCAGCGACUGGGGUG
rnacentral:rRNA from 1 species